rnacentral:rRNA from 1 species
AACGAACGCUGGCGGCAGGCUUAACACAUGCAAGUCGGACGCCCCGCAAGGGGAGUGGCAGACAGGUGAGUAACGCGUGGGAACAUACCCUUUCCUGCGGAAUAGCUCUGGGAAACUGGAAUUAAUACCGCAUACGCCCUACGGGGGAAAGAUUUAUCGGGGAAGGAUUGGCCCGCGUUGGAUUAGCUAGUUGGUGGGGUAAAGGCCUACCAAGGCGACGAUCCAUAGCUGGUCUGAGAGGAUGAUCAGCCACAUUGGGACUGAGACACGGCCCAAACUCCUACGGGAGGCAGCAGUGGGGAAUAUUGGACAAUGGGCGCAAGCCUGAUCCAGCCAUGCCGCGUGAGUGAUGAAGGCCUUAGGGUUGUAAAGCUCUUUCACCGAUAAAGAUAAUGACGGUAGUCGGAGAAGAAGCCCCGGCUAACUUCGUGCCAGCCGCCGCAGUAAAAC